UGGGGGAUAUUGCACAAUGGGCGCAAGCCUGAUGCAGCGACGCCGCGUGGGGGAUGAAGGCCUUCGGGUUGUAAACUUCUUUUGCUCUGAACAAGGCGCACUUUGGGGUGUGUUGAGUGUAGGGGUUGAUUAGCGCCGGCUAACUACGUGCCAGCAGCCGCGGUAAUACGUAGGGCGCGAGCGUUGUCCGGAAUUAUUGGGCGUAAUGGGCUUGUAGGUGGCUGGUUGCGUCUGUCGUGAAAGCUCAUGGCUUAACUGUGGGUUUGCGGUGGGUACGGGCUGGCUUGAGUGCGGUGGAGGAGGCUGGAAUUCCUGGUGUAGCGGUGGAAUGCGCAGAUAUCAGGAGGAAUACCGGUGGCGAAGGCGGGUCUCUGGGCUGUGAAUGACACUGAGGAGCGAAAGCAUGGGGAGCGAACAGG
rnacentral:rRNA from 1 species